GCAACGUUUUACGUUAUUCAAAGAAGAACAAGAAUGUUACAAGCAAUCUUACUUUGUAUGAUGACAUCAUACCACUCGUGACGUCUGCCAAACAUGUCGGUAUUCUUCUGAACUGUAAAUUUAGAUCAAUGGACCAGACGUUGAAUGCUUGUAGAGUGUUGCGAUCAACUGCUCUUUCUGUUCUAAAUUCUGGAAUUCAUCCAUCAAUUUUAAACCCUUUGACGUGUUCCAAGAUAUACUUCAAAUAUGUAACAGCA
rnacentral:lncRNA from 1 species